UGCAAGUCGAACGGCAGCACGGAGCUUGCUCUGGUGGCGAGUGGCGAACGGGUGAGUAAUAUAUCGGAACGUACCCUGGAGUGGGGGAUAACGUAGCGAAAGUUACGCUAAUACCGCAUACGAUCUAAGGAUGAAAGUGGGGGCUCGCAAGACCUCAUGCUCCUGGAGCGGCCGAUAUCUGAUUAGCUAGUUGGUAGGGUAAAAGCCUACCAAGGCAUCGAUCAGUAGCUGGUCUGAGAGGACGACCAGCCACACUGGAACUGAGACACGGUCCAGACUCCUACGGGAGGCAGCAGUGGGGAAUUUUGGACAAUGGGCGCAAACCUGAUCCAGCAAUGCCGCGUGAGUGAAGAAGGCCUUCGGGUUGUAAAGCUCUUUUGUCAGGGAAGAAAAGGGUCUGGCUAAUAUCUAGGUCUCAUGACGGUACCUGAAGAAUAAGCACCGGCUAACUACGUGCCAGCAGCCGCGGUAAUACGUAGGGUGCAAGCGUUAAUCGGAAUUACUGGGCGUAAAGCGUGCGCAGGCGGUUUUGUAAGACUGUCGUGAAAUCCC
rnacentral:rRNA from 1 species